rnacentral:rRNA from 1 species
UACGUAUGGUGCAAGCGUUAUCCGGAUUUACUGGGUGUAAAGGGAGCGUAGGCGGCGCGUUAAGUCUGAUGUGAAAACCCGAGGCUCAACCACGGGAGUGCAUUGGAAACUGGCGGGCUGGAGUGCCGAAGAGGUAAGCGGAAUUCCUAGUGUAGCGGUGAAAUGCGUAGAUAUUAGGAGGAACACCAGUGGCGAAGGCGGCUUACUGGACGGCAACUGACGCUGAGGCUCGAAAGCGUGGGGAGCAAACAGG